GGUUAGUGUGGGCUCCAACCGCUAAGGUGUUGUCAGUCACUAGGGCCGGGACCUGUCCCUUGGGCCUGGAGCCUGUUACUAGGACCUGGGGUCUGUCACUAGGGCCGGGGUCUGCCCCUUGGGCCUGGAGCCUGUAACUAGGGCCUGGGAUCUCUGUCACUAGGGCCAGCUGCUGUUUUAAAGGUAGCAGCAGCCUGGGUGCUCCCUUGUUCACUGCCCACGCCCACGCGGGGGUGGCGCCGACAGAGCCUACACAACUGCUCUCCACGUGGAUGGCUGUGGGGUGGCUGAGCCUUGCUGGCAGAGGAGGCUGGUGGACAGGCCGUGCUCACAUCAUCAGCAGUGCCGGGUCAGAGGUGGAGGCAGGAGCCACGGAGUCAGUGGGAGCUACCAACCCUCUCAGCUCAUCACCACUCCCUGGGGCCUGAGACCUCAGAGCCAGCCCUCGGCCCUGCUCAGGCUCUGGCCUCCCUGAGAACCUCUGUCCUGGUCACAAGUGUCCUGCAGGCCCCCUCGGUUGUGCUGGGCUGGACCAGGCCAGGGCGUGACCUCUGACAGCUCCACCUGCUCUGGAGAAGCCACCAGCAGCUUCUCCAGCUGCACCCACUGACCCCCAGAGCUCGCUCGCAGGCAGGUGCCCAUGGUGGGACAGUUGCUUGUGCCUCAGUCUCCUCAUCCUUGAAGGGGUACAGCCCCCUCCCCAUCUCCCUCGCACCCGAUGGCCUCAUGCAGGCACAGCCCGAGGGAGAACCUGUCUCUGCGGAGAAAGACUCUGUGAUGGCAGCCAAUUGGAUUCCACCAGAACCCGAGGGCAAGCAUUCCUCGGGAAGUGACCAGGCUGGGAGCAUCAGGCACGCACACCACACACUCAACCCAAACCUUCUCUUAACUCAGGUUCCCAGGAGCCCGGCGUGCUUCUGCCUGGCAGGGGCCGACGCUCGUGCCCUGGAGAACUCCCUGUUCAGGGAUGACAGUGGGUUCCCUGGUGAUUUGGAGGCCUGGGGCCUGGGUGGGAGCUUCUCCCUCUACCCCUGGAGACACUGCCCAGGAGUCCAACGUGCUGUGACUGCAGGAUGCCCCUGGCAGGGGCCAUGCUGGCUCAGACGCCUCUCACCAACCCCUUCCUUCCAUGCCCUCGGGGCCUGUCAGGCAGUCAGAGCUCCCAAUCAGAACAAAGCCGGCAGUUUUGAGUCUGUGCACAUCCCCCUGCAGCGCAAGAUGCAGGAUGAUCAGUGGCUCCAGCCCAGCAUCCCCACGGCACACUUGAGAGCACACCCCACCCAGAGGCCAGACAGGUGCACACGGCCAGGGCCGCCCCAGGACACACGUCCAGAGAGGUCACAGUCCUGAAAGGUCACGGUCCUGAGAGGUCACCAUCCUGAGAGGUCCUCAGUCCAGAGAGGUCACCAGUUCUGAGAGGUCACUGUCCUGAGGGGUCACUGGUCCAGAGGUCAUCACUCUUGAGAGUCACUGGUUGAUCCUGAGAGGUCAUUGGUCCAGAGGGAUCACUAGGAUGGGGUCUCCAGGCCUGGGCUGAGGCUCUGCCCCACAGAAGACCUGAGGUCGGGCUCCUGCUCUUCAGGGACCCUGAGGGCUAGAGCCAAGCCCAGGCUGAGUGCAGUCCCCAAGGAAGU
rnacentral:lncRNA from 1 species